CCUACGGGAGACAGCAGUGAGGAAUAUUGGUCAAUGGACGAGAGUCUGAACCAGCCAAGUAGCGUGAAGGAUGACUGCCCUAUGGGUUGUAAACUUCUUUUAUAUGGGAAUAAAACGUUCCACGUGUGGGAUUUUGUAUGUACCAUAUGAAUAAGGAUCGGCUAACUCCGUGCCAGCAGCCGCGGUAAUACGGAGGAUCCGAGCGUUAUCCGGAUUUAUUGGGUUUAAAGGGAGCGUAGGUGGAUUGUUAAGUCAGUUGUGAAAGUUUGCGGCGCAACCGUAAAAUUGCAGUUGAAACUGGCAGUCUUGAGUACAGUAGAGGUGGGCGGAAUUCGUGGUGUAGCGGUGAAAUGCUUAGAUAUCACGAAGAACUCCGAUUGCGAAGGCAGUUCACUGGACUGCAACUGACACUGAGGCUCGAAAGUGUGGGUAUCAAACAGGAUUAGAUACCCGAGUAGUC
rnacentral:rRNA from 1 species